rnacentral:rRNA from 1 species
GACGAACGCUGGCGGCGUGCUUAACACAUGCAAGUCGAACGGAAAGGCCCUGCUGUUGUGGGGUGCUCGAGUGGCGAACGGGUGAGUAACACGUGAGUAACCUGCCCUUGACUUUGGGAUAACUUCAGGAAACUGGGGCUAAUACCGGAUAGGAGCUCCUGCUGCAUGGUGGGGGUUGGAAAGUUUCGGCGGUUGGGGAUGGACUCGCGGAUUAUCAGCUUGUGGGUGGGGUAGUGGUUUACCCAGGCUUUGACGGGUAGCCGGCCUGAGAGGGUGACCAGGCACAUGGGGACUGAGAGACGCACCAGAGUGGUACAGUGCGCAGCAGUGGGGAGUAUUGCGCAAUGGGCGGAAGCCUAAGGCAGCAGCCCCCCGUGCGUGAUGACCGCCUUCGGGGUGUAAACCGAUUUCGCUUAUUACGAAGGGUGAUUGACGGUAAUGGGUAAAGAAGCACCGGCUAACUACGUG